rnacentral:rRNA from 1 species
GACGAACGCUGGCGGCGUGCUUAACACAUGCAAGUCGAACGGCAAGGCCCUGCUUUUGUGGGGUGCUCGAGUGGCGAACGGGUGAGUAACACGUGAGUAACCUGCCCUUGACUUUGGGAUAACUUCAGGAAACUGGGGCUAAUACCGGAUAGGAGCUCCUGCUGCAUGGUGGGGGUUGGAAAGUUUCGGCGGUUGGGGAUGGACGCGCGGCUUAUCAGCUUGUUGGUGGGGUAGUGGCUUACCAAGGCUUUGACGGGUAGCCGGCCUGAGAGGGUGACCGGCCACAGUGGGACUGAGAUACGGCCCAGACUCCUACGGGAGGCAGCAGUGGGGAAUAUUGCACAAUGGGCGGAAGCCUGAUGCAGCAACGCCGCGUGCGGGAUGACGGCCUUCGGGUUGUAAACCGCUUUCGCCUGUGACGAAGCGUGAGUGACGGUAAUGGGUAAAGAAGCACCGGCUAACUACGUG